CCGCGUGUAGGCUAGUCAGGUAGGUCGUCUGGUUUGGGACCAGAAAGUCGGAGGUUCGAAUCCUUCCACGCGGA
rnacentral:tRNA from 5 species